GAAAUGCGAUAAGUAGUGUGAAUUGCAGAAUUCAGUGAAUCAUCGAAUCUUUGAACGCACAUUGCGCCCCUUGGUAUUCCAUGGGGCAUGCCUGUUCGAGCGUCAUUUGUACCCUCAAGCUCUGCUUGGUGUUGGGUGUUUGUCCCGUCUCCGCGCGUGGACUCGCCCCAAAGUGAUUGGCAGCCGGCGUGCUGGUCCCGGAGCGCAGCACAUGUCGCGCAAACGAGUGCCUUGGUACGGCGGCGUCCAUAAGCCCCUCUCUCACGCUCUUGACCUCGGAUCAGGUAGGGAUACCCGCUGAACUUAAGC
rnacentral:misc_RNA from 1 species